UAGCAGCCCAGAGUAGAUAUCAGAGCUCAACCCAGCCUCAUUACAAAACAGCUGGCCACUAUCUAGCAGCCCAGAGUAGAUAUCAGAGCUCAACCCAGCCUCUCAAACAUUACAAAACAGCUGGCCACUAUCUAGCAGCCCAGAGUAGAUAUCACAGCUCAACCCAGCCUCAUUACAAAACAGCUGGCCACUAUCUAGCAGCCCAGAGUAAAUGCCACUACACAGAGAGAGUUAAAAUUCUCCCAACCCUGCUACCUCUAGCUCACUCUGUUCACAGUCACGUGAUACAGGCAGAUGGUAUGUGCUCCUCUUGCAACAAGAACUUCUACAACAUGGGGAGCAUCACUCCGGGGUUACUGAGGCGCUUUAUUGAGUAUCAGCUAGAUAACCCUGAACAUACAGCACGAGGGUUCGGCUUCUUGAAGACACUUCCUCUGAGUCAGAUCAGGGAUUUGUUAAGAAAACAGUUACUAGUUGUGGAGAGGUUAGUCAACACAAUCCCUCACUCAGAACACGUGAUAGCGGUUGAAGAUAGUGCUAAUAUCAAUAAUGGGACCGAGGUUGAAAUGGAGUGGUGUUAUCAGAACAGAGAUAAGAUACUGCAGGUAACUGAGUUUAUAGCCCCUCACAUCUUCAGUGUCAAAGCUUACCACGCAGCUUCUAAUAAAACGUACGCUGUGAAGUGUAAAUACUUCUACAAAGGAUUAGAUGAUCUGCAUUGUAUUUACCUAGCACUACUUCUCCCUCACAUGCCACGUGUUUUCUCGCGCGACACAUUCACCAACUACAUUGCACGUGCUAAAGAAUAUGAAGCAGCCUCUGGAGAGAAAGGUUUCGGUGAUAAUUUUCAAAAAAUGCUUUCGAAUGUGACAAGUCCGAGGAUUCCGAGUGGAGGAAGGGACGGUUUCUAUUUGUCGUCUUCUUCACUGACGUCACACAGUGGAGCACUGACGUCACAUCACGUGAUUGAUAAUGGUAGUUCUUAUUGUAUAACUUCCUCUAAACUGGAUAAACUCUUAGUUUGAUCAGCUACUGUUGAAUUUAUUUAUUUUCAAAGAUUUUAAAAUAUAGUAGUAUAUAUAUAUUAUAUAAUGGUAUAUAGUAGUUAUUAUAUACUAAACUAACCAGUCCCUCAAUCAAUUAUGAUUAUUUCUACCAUUAUUUUGCAGUGUUACCAUGGUUACAAGGGUAAUUGUAAACGAUUUGGUAAAUUAGAGGUCAAUUGUAAUGAUUGUAAAUUUUUGAUCUUUGAUAUUUA